UACGAAGGGGGCUAGCGUUGCUCGGAAUCACUGGGCGUAAAGCGCACGUAGGCGGCUUCUUAAGUCAGGGGUGAAAUCCUGGAGCUCAACUCCAGAACUGCCUUUGAUACUGGGAGGCUCGAGUCCGGAAGAGGUGAGUGGAACUGCGAGUGUAGAGGUGAAAUUCGUAGAUAUUCGCAAGAACACCAAUGGCGAAAGCAGCUCUCUGGGACGGUACUGACGCUGAGACGCGAAAGCGUGGGGAGCGAACAGG
rnacentral:rRNA from 1 species